rnacentral:rRNA from 1 species
GAUGAACGCUGGCGGCGUGCUUAACACAUGCAAGUCGAACGAAGUGGCGAACGGGUGAGUAACGAGUAAUCAACCAGCCCUUCAGAGGGGGACAAAAGUUGGAAACGACUGUUAAUACCGCAUACUGAAGGAGGGGAUUGCGUCGGAUUAGCUGGUUCGAGGGGUAACGGCCCACAAAGGCGAUGAUCAGUAGCCGGUCUGAGAGGAUGAACGGCCACACUGGGACUGAGACACGGCCCAGACUCCCAGGGGAGGCAGCAGUGGGGAAUCUUGCGCAAUGGACGAAAGUCUGACGGAGCAACGCCGCGUGAGUGAUGACGGCCUUCGGGUUGUAAAGCUCUGUUAAUCGGGACGCGGUACCGGAAUAGAAGGCCACGGCUAACUACGUCCCGCCGCCGCGGUAAUUC